CGGGCGCAAAUUCUCCAGGCGAUCAAAGAUAUCAACCCGUGUGCCGUCAACAACAUGGCUGUGCCCGCGAAGAGCGUGUUGAAAGCUCCUCUGCCGUUUUUAUCAUAAAAUUUGUGUCUACUUGUCUAAUUUAGGGACAAUGAAAGGCCAUAAGCAGAACUCGGGAAUGGCCAGCCCCAACACAAGCUGGAAGGAGUGUGAAUUGCCUGAAGAAAUUAUCAGUUGAAUAGAUGACGACUACCUCCAUAUAUUGG